CAUCUGGGAGGCCCAGCUACAGGGUUUGAAUGCAUCUGGGAGGCCCAGCUACAGGGUUUGAAUGCAUCUGGGAGGCCCAGCUACAGGGUUUGAAUGCAUCUGGGAGGCCCAGCUACAGGGUUUGAAUGCAUCUGGGAGGCCCAGCUACAGGGUUUGAAUGCAUCUGGGAGGCCCAGCUACAGGGUUUGAAUGCAUCUGGGAGGCCCAGCUACAGGGUUUGAAUGCAUCUGGGAGGCCCAGCUACAGGGUUUUGAAUGCAUCUGGGAGGCCCAGCUACAGGGUUUGAAUGCAUCUGGGAGGCCCAGCUACAGGUUUUGAAUGCAUCUGGGAGGCCCAGCUACAGGGUUUGAAUGCAUCUGGGAGGCCCAGCUACAGGGUUUGAAUGCAUCUGGGAGGCCCAGCUACAGGGUUUUGAAUGCAUCUGGGAGGCCCAGCUACAGGGUUUUGAAUGCAUCUGGGAGGCCCAGCUACAGGGUUUGAAUGCAUCUGGGAGGCCCAGCUACAGGGUUUUGAAUGCAUCUGGGAGGCCCAGCUACAGGGUUUGAAUGCAUCUGGGAGGCCCAGCUACAGGUUUUGAAUGCAUCUGGGAGGCCCAGCUACAGGUUUUGAAUGCAUCUGGGAGGCCCAGCUACAGGUUUUGAAUGCAUCUGGGAGGCCCAGCUACAGGUUUUGAAUGCAUCUGGGAGGCCCAGCUACAGGGUUUGAAUGCAUCUGGGAGGCCCAGCUACAGGUUUUGAAUGCAUCUGGGAGGCCCAGCUACAGGGUUUGAAUGCAUCUGGGAGGCCCAGCUACAGGGUUUGAAUGCAUCUGGGAGGCCCAGCUACAGGGUUUGAAUGCAUCUGGGAGGUCCAGCUACAGGGUUUGUCAUCAAUCGGCUUGAAAAUCUAAUGCAAGACUUGAAAAUGUCUGUCUAGCAACGAUCAACAACCAACUUGACAGAACAAAUAUAGUACAAUCCAAAGUGUGCAAAGCUCUUAGAGACUUCCCCAGAAAGACUCAGCUAUAAUCGCUGCCAAAUGUGCUUCCACAAAGUAUUGACUCAGGGGGUGUGAAUACUUCAGAAAAUUAUAUAUUUCUGCAUUUCAUUUUCAAUAAACUUGCAAAAUGAUGUAAGAGCAUGUAUUACCUUUGUCAUUAUGGGGUAUUCAUAAAAUCCAUUUUAAA